UACGUAGGGUGCAAGCGUUGUCCGGAAUUAUUGGGCGUAAAGGGCGCGUAGGCGGCACAGCAAGUCGGGAGUGAAAGCCCGGGGCUCAACCCCGGAAUGGCUUUCGAAACUGCUGAGCUAGAGUACAGAAGGGGCAACCGGAAUUCCCAGUGUAGCGGUGAAAUGCGUAGAUAUUGGGAAGAACACCUGAGGCGAAGGCGGGUUGCUGGGCUGAUACUGACGCUGAGGCGCGAAAGCCAGGGGAGCAAACGGG
rnacentral:rRNA from 1 species